UACGAAGGGUGCAAACGUUGCUCGGAAUUAUUGGGCGUAAAGCGCACGUAGGCGGCUUAGCAAGUUGGAUGUGAAAUCCCUCGGCUCAACCAAGGAAGUGCAUCCAAAACUGCUGAGCUUGAGUACUAAAGAGGAUCGCGGAAUUCCCGGUGUAGAGGUGAAAUUCGUAGAUAUCGGGGAGGAACACCAGUGGCGAAGGCGGCUCGCUGGACCUCUUCUGACGCUGAGGCGCGAAAGCCAGGGGAGCAAAGCGGGAUUAAGA
rnacentral:rRNA from 1 species